CGAGUUCUCGUUGAUGAUCGGUGCUUGCACCGAGAUUCAACAUGGAACGAGUGGCGGACGGGUGAGUAACACGUGGGUAACCUGCCCUUAAGUGGGGGAUAACAUUUGGAAACAGAUGCUAAUACCGCAUAGAUCCAAGAACCGCAUGGUUCUUGGCUGAAAGAUGGCGUAAGCUAUCGCUUUUGGAUGGACCCGCGGCGUAUUAGCUAGUUGGUGAGGUAAUGGCUCACCAAGGCGAUGAUACGUAGCCGAACUGAGAGGUUGAUCGGCCACAUUGGGACUGAGACACGGCCCAAACUCCUACGGGAGGCAGCAGUAGGGAAUCUUCCACAAUGGACGCAAGUCUGAUGGAGCAACGCCGCGUGAGUGAAGAAGGCUUUCGGGUCGUAAAACUCUGUUGUUGGAGAAGAAUGGUCGGCAGAGUAACUGUUGUCGGCGUGACGGUAUCCAACCAGAAAGCCACGGCUAACUACGUGCCAGCAGCCGCGGUAAUACGUAGGUGGCAAGCGUUAUCCGGAUUUAUUGGGCGUAAAGCGAGCGCAGGCGGUUUUUUAAGUCUGAUGUGAAAGCCCUCGGCUUAACCGAGGAAGCGCAUCGGAAACUGGGAAACUUGAGUGCAGAAGAGGACAGUGGAACUCCAUGUGUAGCGGUGAAAUGCGUAGAUAUAUGGAAGAACACCAGUGGCGAAGGCGGCUGUCUGGUCUGUAACUGACGCUGAGGCUCGAAAGCAUGGGUAGCGAACAGGAUUAGAUACCCUGGUAGUCCAUGCCGUAAACGAUGAAUGCUAGGUGUUGGAGG
rnacentral:rRNA from 1 species